rnacentral:rRNA from 1 species
AGCGAACGCUGGCGGCGUGCCUAACACAUGCAAGUCGAACGUGAAAGGGAGCAAUCCCACGUAAAGUGGCGUACGGGUGAGUAACACGUAGGUAAUCUACCCCAGAAUCUGGAAUAACCGGCCGAAAGGAUGGCUAAUACUGGAUAGAGCGACGGAAUCCGUACUUGGGUUUUUCGGGAAAGGGAGCCUGUAAAAAGGCCUUCGUUCUGGGAUGAGCCUGCGUCCCAUCAGCUAGUUGGUGAGGUAAAAGCUUACCAAGGCAAUGACGGGUAGCUGGACUGAGUGGACGAGUAGCCGGACUGGGAGGGAGACACGCUACAGACGCCCUGGGGAGGGAGCAGUGGGGAAACGUGCGCAAGCGACGGGAGUCUGAGGCAGAAACGCCGCGGGCGUGAGGAAGAACGUCGGGUGGUAGAGGUCGGUCGAGUGGGACGAAAAUGCUUGGGGUUGAGAGCUACAGGAACUGACGGUACCACUAAAAGAAGCACCGGCUAACUACGUG